CGAUUUUCUUUGCUGAAUCUGUGGAGACUAGGCCUUUUCUUGAUCUUUUCUUUAUUUCCGAACCGAUUGGUUUUAUACUUUUUAUCUGCGAUAAAACAUAUUAAAAAUAAGAAAAGUAUGAUGUAUGUGUUUGACAAGAAAAAGUGUAUGCUAGUGAAAGUUUUUAACGCUAAACGAAAGUUUGAUUAAAAGAAAAAGUUUUGUGUACCUUUCGUCCCAUCAAGGGAUGUUCGCUUCCGCUCGCUAUAAGACCAGAAUCUCCAUAUUUGGAUCCACCUACAUCUAUAUUUCCACUUAUAAGUUUUCGAGUACAACAUCAGCUUCACAUGUUUUACACCGUCAUACGUCUAAGUAUAUCCACAAGAUACACACACAUAACUACGACAUCUAUAUCAUUUAACUCAUAAUAUCACUAAGAAAAAAAUGAAAAGAAAACUAAGAGUUUUGUGUUUUGUCAAUAUACGAACCUUGAAGCACAUGAGGAAAGUUCAUGGUCAUCAUCAUCAUGAGGAAGAGAAACCCUAGAACGAGUGUGAUUAACUUCGCUUUUGUGUUCUUCAUCUCUUUUGUCUUUUUCAAUAUUAAGGAAGUG